GCAGCUGACACCCCACGUUGUAGCCGCGGUGUGGAGCGUGGACAAGAUGUCGCUCUAGAUUGUCCUGGUUCGCUGGAAAACCUCACCUGGGUCUAAAGGAAAUGAUCACUUCGGAGGAAAUUACCUCCAACCUACUCAUCAUGGAGGAGCCCCAAUCCUCAAACAUACAGACCAUGUGGCAGAGAUGAUCCUUAGGUGAAGAUGGGAUUGUUGAUCCUUAUAGAGCCGGGAGGAGAAACAUGGAGAGCAUGUUUUGAAACGUUUAUCUCUGGAGAAGUGCAGGCUGUAUGACACUCAGUCAAACUGCCGGUCAUCGCACACUGGCCCAAAGAGACAAGGUUUCUACGACUGACGCCCAGUCUGUGAAGAAUGGCCCGGUGAUGAUUCUGCAGCACAACCACUGUCUGCUUUUGAAGCAGGGCUGUCGAAAAGCUUUGUCAACUCCUCCGCUCAUGCUCCAUAAUGGGAAGGUGCAUCUUGUACAAGAAAAUAACCCCCUCCCUGCCCUUGGAUGAGUUUUAUUAAAGAUGUUGUGGAUGUGAAUGUACCUCACUCUUUUAUAAUAAACUUCUUAUAACUGUU